rnacentral:tRNA from 1 species
GGGGCUAUAGCUCAACUGGGAGAGUGCUUGCAUGGCAUGCAAGAGGUUGGCGGUUCGAUCCCGCUUAGCUCCA